rnacentral:rRNA from 1 species
UACGUAGGCAGCGAGCGUUGUUCGGAAUUACUGGGCGUAAAGCGCGUGUAGGCGGCCCGGAAAGUCGGAUGUGAAAGCCCUGGGCUUAACCUAGGAAGUGCAUUCGAAACUCCCGGGCUUGAGUUCUGGAGAGGAAGGCGGAAUUCUCGGUGUAGAGGUGAAAUUCGUAGAUAUCGAGAGGAACACCGGUGGCGAAGGCGGCCUUCUGGACAGUGACUGACGCUGAGACGCGAAAGCGUGGGGAGCAAACAGG